rnacentral:lncRNA from 1 species
UCAUCUGGGCUACUGGCUGAACACCCAUGGCUGUUGGGUUUCAGUCCCUCUUCCCCCUCCUCUUUUUCUUAUUCCGGAGGAGGAGCCAACUGCUCCUGAAGGUUCUGGGCGGUCAGAGUAUGACCUUGGGUGUUGCCAUGGGAAAAUGUUGGAAUCACAGGGCCCAAGGAGUAUUUGCUUUAAGAAGAGUCCAGACCUGGACACAGCCACUCUUGCGCCCAGCGACCUCUCCGGACAGCGCAGAGCGUGCAGAGCUAGGUGGCGCAGAGCUAGGUGGCGCGCAGCCGUGUGUAGGGUUCCGGACGCGCGCAUGUGCGUGUGCGCGCCACGGUAAGCACUGCCCCCAACCCACAGGCCAGCAGCUUGCGGUGCCAUCUGUCACCAGCCUCGCCCGGGCUGCUCCCUCUGAAUGGCUUUCCCUAAGACCAACCCGCUCGCCCUGUCGGACGCAAUCAGGUUACAUCAGUAACUGCAAACCACCUUGGUUGCCAAACUGAGUAAAUCUGCUUCUUCUUUUCAUGGAUCCUAAUAAUAAUAAACAAACUCUGUGCUGUGAUAUGAGGACUUGCUUCUCUCUGGCCUUCCCCCUUUCAUAGCCAGUGGUGUUAUGGGACCCACAUACAGUGUGCACUAUUUGGGCCAACUCACACCUGGGUUUCUGGAUCAGAAAUAAGGUCCUGCCUCCACAUUGUAAAUCUCUCCAACAACAAACUUGUUAUUCAUUAGCAGGUACAUGACUGUCCACCACGGACACAGUUUCCUGAACUGUUUUCCCAACUAUGCUCUAAGCCCCCCAAAACCACAAUAGUCCUGUCUCUGCUGAAAGGGCUGAGGAUGCAUCAUUUUACAUGCAGAAUUCCUGAACACUUCCCCAAUAGUCAAGCAGUUCCUCAAUGAUAGCCUUCUACUGUUUGGGAAGGCUAAUUAUCUCUAUCAAACCUAGUUAAAGAGUACAUACGUAGACAAAAUUAGGCAAUGCAGUGUAAGGGGUGGGAACAUCCUAAAUCCAACUAAAGAGAGGAAAAAAAUAUUAAAAAAAAAAACUAUGAAGUAUGAUCAUAAAGCACCCCAAAUGAGGGACUGACUGCAAAGAACA